rnacentral:rRNA from 1 species
UACGUAGGAGGCAAGCGUUGUCCGGAAUUACUGGGUGUAAAGCGCGUGUAGGCGGCAGGCCAAGUCUGUGGUGAAAUCGCUCGGCUCAACUGGGCGGGGUCCAUGGAAACUGGUCAGCUGGAGGACGGUAGAGGUGAGUGGAAUUCCUGGUGUAGCGGUGAAAUGCGCAGAUAUCAGGAGGAACACCAAUGGCGAAGGCAGCUCGCUGGGACGGUACUGACGCUGAGACGCGAAAGCGUGGGGAGCAAACAGG